UACGAAGGGGGCUAGCGUUGCUCGGAAUCACUGGGCGUAAAGGGUGCGUAGGCGGGUCUUUAAGUCAGGGGUGAAAUCCUGGAGCUCAACUCCAGAACUGCCUUUGAUACUGAGGAUCUUGAGUUCGGGAGAGGUGAGUGGAACUGCGAGUGUAGAGGUGAAAUUCGUAGGUAUUCGCAAGAACACCAGUGGCGAAGGCGGCUCACUGGUCCGAUACUGACGCUGAGGCACGAAAGCGUGGGGAGCAAACAGG
rnacentral:rRNA from 1 species